rnacentral:tRNA from 1 species
GUUUGAGUAGCUUAACGAUAACAGCGGUGCUUUGAAGCAGCAAUGAUAGGUGAACACCUCUCAAACA